AAAUUCCUCAACCACAUGUGAUGUGGCUUGGAUAUUGGGGGUUUGCAGGCCUUGAAAAGAGGUCUGCUCCCCUGAAAUGUAUUAGCGGUAUCUGCUACUACAGGUGUGAUAAUUUAUCUGUACCUUUAGUAUUCUGCAAAUGAUUAUGCUGCUUCUAAACAAACCGUUUUGAUAA
rnacentral:misc_RNA from 1 species